GACGAACGCUGGCGGCGUGCUUAACACAUGCAAGUCGAACGGAAAGGCCCUGCUUUUGUGGGGUGCUCGAGUGGCGAACGGGUGCGUAACACGUGAGUAACCUGCCCUUGACUUUGGGAUAACUUCAGGAAACUGGGGCUAAUACCGGAUAGGAGCUCCUGCUGCAUGGUGGGGGUUGGAAAGUUUCGGCGGUUGGGGAUGGACUCGCGGCUUAUCAGCUUGUUGGUGGGGUAGUGGCUUACCAAGGCUUUGACGGGUAGCCGGCCUGAGAGGGUGACCGGCCACAUUGGGACUGAGAUACGGCCCAGACGCCUACGGGAGGCAGCAGUGGGGAAUAUUGCACAAUGGGCGGAAGCCUGAUGCAGCAACGCCGCGUGCGGGAUGACGGCCUUCGGGUUGUAAACCGCUUUCGCCUGUGACGAAGCGUGAGUGACGGUAAUGGGUAAAGAAGCACCGGCUAACUACGUG
rnacentral:rRNA from 1 species